rnacentral:rRNA from 1 species
GGAUGCGAUCAUACCAGCACUAAAGCACCGGAUCCCAUCAGAACUCCGAAGUUAAGCGUGCUUGGCCGAGAGUAGUACUAGGAUGGGUGACCUUCUGGGAAGUCCUCGUGUUGCAUUCC